rnacentral:rRNA from 1 species
ACCUGACUGCUAUCGGAUUUGGUACUAAGCCAUGUGAGUCAUUGUAGCAAUACAAGGCAUACGGCUCAGUAACACGUAGUCAAUCUGCCCUAUGGACGUGGAUAACCUCGGGAGACUGAGAAUAAUCCGCGAUAGAUCAUAAUGCCUGGAACGGUUUAUGGUCCAAAUGAUUCGUCGCCAUAGGAUGGGACUGCGGCCUAUCAGCUUGUUGGUGAGGUAAUGGCCCACCAAGGCUAUUACAGGUACGGGCUCUGAGAGGAGAAGCCCGGAGAUGGGUACUGAGACACAGACCCAGGCCCUAUGGGGCGCAGCAGGCGAGAAACCUUUGCAAUGUGCGCAAGCACGACAAGGUUAAUCCGAGUGUUUCCUGCUAAAGGAAUCUUUUGUUAGUUCUAAAACCACUGAUGAAUAAGGGGUGGGCAAGUUCUGGUGUCAGCCGCCGCGGUAAAACCAGCACCUCAAGUGGUCAGGAGGAUUAUUGGGCCUAAAGCAUCCGUAGCCGGUUCUGUAAGUUUUCGGUUAAAUCCACUAGCUCAACUAAUGGGCUGCCGGAAAUACUGCAGAACUAGGGAGUGGAAGAGGUAGACGGUACUCGGGAGGAAGGGGUAAAAUCCUUUGAUCUCUUGAUGACCACCUGUGGCGAAGGCGGUCUACCAGAACACGUUCGACGGUGAGGGAUGAAAGCUGGGGGAGCAAACCGGAUUAGAUACCCGGGUAGUCCCAGCUGUAAACGAUGCAGACUCGGUGAUGCACUGGCUUUUGGCCAGUGCAGUGCCGCAGGGAAGCCGUUAAGUUUGCCGCCUGGGAAGUACGUACGCAAGUAUGAAACUUAAAGGAAUUGGCGGGGGAGCACCACAAGGGGUGAAGCCUGCGGUUCAAUUGGAGUCAACGCCGGAAC